CCCUAGCCCCGAUGGAGGCGGCAUCCUUUGGGGUUGGAGUGAGGCGGCGGAGCGCAAGCGGAGCCGUCCGAGCGACAAGCCUAAAGAUAUAGCCGAGAGCGGGAAUUGCU
rnacentral:sRNA from 1 species